ACACGCCUCAGAAUGUUAUCUCUAACUGAUGAGCAGGUUUGUCAAUCAACUAUGAAGUUAUCUUGACUAAAUCAUCGGGUUUAUCCAUCAAUUAUGAAAUGAUUUGAACUGAUUAUGCUGCCGUUAGUCUAGUGAUAUUUAGCAUAGCAUUAUUGUCUCUUUACAUGUCUUCCCUUAUCUUCAUCCAGCUUUCAAGUUUGAAUACAUAACUCUUAUAUGAAUGAAGAUCUUGCAGAUUUUUAAAUUUCCAGUGGAGCAUCUAGAGGAGACUCAUGUCAGUACCCAACUGACCUUUUGAAGCGAAAGGCUAAAAUUCUUGAUUAAGCGAAAGGCUCUUGAUUAAUGAGUUUGAUGCAAAGCUAACCAUGAUGCCUUUCUUUCUAUUCCAAUCUAUAUUCUGUCAGGUACUUGCGAAGAGACAAAUUGAUGAUGAUGACCUCACAGCACGGACUUGGUUCUUUUAAGAGCAUAAAGCUUGCAGAGAAGGUUGCAGGAAUGAGCAUCAAAUCAGGGGUUCCAUCCCAU